rnacentral:lncRNA from 1 species
CCUGAAAUUGACACGUGGCCCUAAUUUUAAAGGCUCUGACAAAAAUGGGGGUGCGAUGUAUACUUAAGCAGGAAGUGUGUCUGUCACAACUUGCAAGGGCAAAGCCACCCUCCUACUGUAGAAGGCAGCUAAGGCUAUUCACUACACUUGCCUCCUGAGGAAGUGAGGUCUCUUGGACCAGAAACCUUGGGGAGAGAAAUAAUCAAGGGUGAGCAGUCACAUGAGAUAAGAUGCCUUAUAUCGAAGAUGAGACUCCUGAAUGUUGGAUUAGGAGGGGGCAUCCUCUGUGUGGAGGCAGAAAACUCUACAGCAGCCAGGAGCAGCAGGAGGAUGCAACACAGCCGGCUCCUCACCUGAUUCUCCCCACAGAGGAACACAUUCAGGUGAGUGGAAGACAUAACCAAGAUCCUCACUGACAAUGCCAAAUACGGAGUUUGCCAAACAAACUAAACCAAUGUGCUCCUCUUUAUCUUUUUUCAACUGAGAAGUGGAAAUGACUUUGGAAUCUAUUUCCCAAAAGAAAGGGAAAACUGGUGGGCUGGGGAGGGUUGGGUACCCUGAAGCUCACUGAAUGGGGGAACUCAUCUGAAGCCCAAGAAUAUAAGGAUCUAUACUCCACUGUUAGGUGAAGGGAAACUUGGUGAGGCCGAGCCUGCUGCUUCUCCAAUUUCUUCUUUUUAUAAUAGAACUCCCAAAUUUCACUGGCACCCACUACUUCCCAGAAGAAAGGGCACAUUUCCCAGCCCCCCUUACGACUAAAGUGAGGCCAUGUGACUAUCUUCUAGCCAAUCAUACAGAAGAAAAGAUGCUUGAAACCUCAGGUUAAUGGUGUUAGAAAAGAGAGAAGUCCUGCCCUUUCCUUCUGCUUUUUCCCUUGCACUGGUUGAAUGCGAGUGUCCUGUAAGAGCUGAGCGCCACUGUAUGCAUAGAAAGCUUGACAGACAACGAGAUACAAAACUUCAGAAUCCCUGACACUACAGAGCCGCUGCCACCUCCGCACCACCAACCGGGACUGUUCACACUCAAGUAGGUAAGUAAGAGAAAUACAAAUUUCUAUGUUCUUUAAAUCACUGCUGCUAUGGCCCUUGUAGCUCUAUCAGUAUCACAUUUAACACCUGAUUAGAUAUGUAAUUUAGAACUUUAAACAAACUCUUAGAAGACAGUACUGAGCCUAGGUAUCGACAAACAGUGCACACCAACCAAGGUGACCUUGCUUCCUUUCUCA